GGCUUCCUGGUCUGGCUGCUAACUGGGUUUUAGUAAGAGAGAAAGACAGGGGUAGAUAGCAGAGUGAGAGGGAGGUCAGAAGUGAGUUUUAGGGAUGAGAGUGAAAAGGAUGAGUGGUGAGAGGGGAAUACAGGAGAGAUAGGAAACGUGGGCAGCAAGAAGAGAAUGUGUUGUCCAGGGGUUUAACAAUGUGGAUUCUACAGAGGGAUUACUCACCCUGCAUUACUCAAUCCCACACACAUUACUGCCCAGAGACGCAGCAAAACUCACACUGUGCUCAGCGGAGACUGGAACAUCGCACAUCGCAUCAAGCUUAUCCCUGGGGGAGAGGAAGUGCUACUAAUGGAACAGUACACUGAGUUUGUGGUGAUCGCGCUGUUUGAGAAGGGGACGUUUGUAUUCUUAUAGGCUGUUGUGCUAGAGAGGACAUUGCAAGAGGCACACAAACACUUUAACAGAACCAAAGCGCAUCAGGAAACGCAUUGAAACCCGACGCUAAUAUACACACACUUCAGUGUUCGUUUUUUAAAGGAACAAGAAAGAUAUAAGAAGCUACAACCAACACAAGAUGGACGGGAACAAGCCACUCUACACCGCCAACGACAGCUGCCGCUUCGACGAGGAGUUUAAAUACAUCCUGCUGCCGCUUUCCUACGGGAUAGUGUGCGUGGUGGGGCUGGUGCUGAACUCCGUGGCUCUGUGGAUGUUUCUGUGUAAGAUGCGCCCGUGGAAGCCCAGCACCGUGUACAUGUUCCACCUGGCCGUCUCGGACACGCUGUACGUGCUCUCGCUGCCCACGCUGGUGUAUUACUACGGCAACCGGAGCCACUGGCCCUUCGGGGAGUGGAUGUGCAAGCUCGUGCGCUUCCUCUUUUACGCCAACCUGUACUGCAGCAUCCUGUUUCUCACCUGCAUCAGCGUGCACCGCUACCUGGGCACCUGCCACCCCAUCUUCUUCCUCAAGCUGGUUAAAGCACGCCAUGCCCACGUGGUGUGUUUCCUAGUGUGGGGUGCCGUGAUGGUGUGCCUUAUCCCCAAUCUGAUCUUUGUGACCAUCAGCACCAGGGACAACGACACGCUGUGUCACGACACCACGCGGCCGGAAGAUUUCCAUCAGUACGUCAGCUACAGCUCAGCCGUUAUGACCCUGCUAUUCGGCCUCCCGUUCCUUGUGAUUGUGGUCUGCUAUUGUCAGAUGGCCCGGAAGCUGUGCCAGCCCAGGAUGGGGCUACAGUCCCGCCAGCAGGGCGCGCCCAAUUCCCGGAGGAAGGCUAUCAAGCUGAUCAUCGUGGUCCUUGUGGUCUUUGCCCUCUCCUUCGUCCCCUUCCACAUCACGCGCACCCUCUACUACACCUUCCGCGUGCUGGACGCCGACUGUGUGACUCUCAACUACGUCAACUUCGCCUACAAAAUCACCCGGCCCCUAGCCAGCGUCAACAGCUGCAUAGACCCCAUCCUGUACUUCCUGGCAGGGGAUCAGUACCGUGCCAAGCUGGCGAGCGCCUGCACCAAGAAACCUCGCUUCUCCACAAUCUCACUGAUGUCGCACAAACGGCUCAACAGCAGCCUGGCCGUGGCCUGCAACAACCAGGACUCUGCCUGCACAGUAACCUGAACUGGAGCAGAAGGACACUGGGGUUUCCACUUUGACACUGUCACCAGACGCCCUGUUCAGCAGGACCACCCACAGCUGGAGGCAGGCACUGUAACUUAAUGUGUCCCAGUCCUCAGCCCUUUUCUAAAGGACAAUGAUGCAGCCUAGCGGCUAGAGGAACCGUAGUGCGGCACAAUCGAGACACCAUUGCUAAGGGCAGCUCUGACCUGAGCAAGACGACAAUAGGACAGAUCACUAUCGACUGGAACAGAGGUGGGUGACGGCACUCCGGGACCAUGUAGUGGCCACGCAUUCCCAUUGACAGACCCUGCUUUAUCAAAACCACGGAUAGGGAUUAGACAAAAAAUUAGAGCCACCUGCCAUAUGCAACACACACUUUUACUUUAAAGGGCCGUCUCUCGGCCUCACAAGACUGAUCAACCACAAUCGACUUUAUUUCCACCGCUGUUUCAUUUUUAUUUGACAUCAUGUUUAACGUUAUGACCCUGGGCAUGCUCAGGGUUCUAAGUUGGAGCUUUUAACCUCAUCUUACUGACAGGGGAUAUGACAGCGUAUCUCACAUCACUGCCUGUUCCCAUAUAUUUUGAUCAAAUAAAGCUGGAUAUCCACAAAGUGGUUGGCGUCUUUAACUAACGUCAUUCAGUCAGUCAACAGUGAAGUUUCAAGUUUCAGAAACAGGAGGAGAGGGAGAGGAACAGGGAGGAGAUGUAGUGGAAAAAGCCACAGGUAGGUCACAGAAAAUACUUUUUUAAUGAACAAUUUUACAUAGAAUGAC